ACCCGCUGAACUUAAGCAUAUCAAUAAGCGGAGGAAAAGAAACCAACAGGGAUUGCCUCAGUAACGGCGAGUGAAGCGGCAAGAGCUCAAAUUUAAAAGCCGACGUAGCUUUAAGAGACGUCCGCAUUGUAAUUUGAAGAGGCAUUCUCGGGUCGGGGCUCAGGCCUAAGUUCCUUGGAAGAGGGCGUCGUGGAGGGUGAGAACCCCGUUCGCGGCCUGCUGUCGACCUUUCCCCGAUCCACACGAGGUGCCAUCGAAGAGUCGAGUUGUUUGGGAAUGCAGCUCAAAGCGGGUGGUAAAUUCCAUCUAAAGCUAAAUAUUGACGGGAGACCGAUAGCGAACAAGUAGAGUGAUCGAAAGAUGAAAAGCACUUUGGAAAGAGAGUUAAACAGCACGUGAAAUUGUUGAAAGGGAAGCGCUUGAGACCAGUCACGGACCGAGGCGAUCAGUGGGACGUCCCUCUCGGGGGAGGAACCGCGCACUCGCUUUUCGGGUUUUCCGGGUCAACAUCGGUUGGGACGGUGUCAGAAAGGUCGCGGGAACGUGGCUCCCUCCACGGGGAGUGUUAUAGCCCGUGGCGUCAAAGUCGCCAGUUUCGACCGAGGACCGCGCUCGUCUUUUUCGAGCAAGGAUGUUGACGUAAUGGUCCC
rnacentral:rRNA from 1 species